UGAGAUAGCUCAGUGGGUAGAGCAUGAGACACUUAAUCUCAGGGUCAUGGGUUUAAGCCCCACACUGGGAAAAA